rnacentral:rRNA from 1 species
GAUGAGCAUGCGUCCCAUUAGCUAGUUGGUAAGGUAACGGCUUACCAAGGCAACGAUGGGUAGGGGUCCUGAGAGGGAGAUCCCCCACACUGGUACUGAGACACGGACCAGACUCCUACGGGAGGCAGCAGUGAGGAAUAUUGGUCAAUGGGCGCAAGCCUGAACCAGCCAUGCCGCGUGCAGGAUGACGGUCCUAUGGAUUGUAAACUGCUUUUGCACAGGAAGAAACAACGCUACGUGUAGCGUCUUGACGGUACUGUGAGAAUAAGGAUCGGCUAACUCCGUGCCAGCAGCCGCGGUAAUACGGAGGAUCCAAGCGUUAUCCGGAAUCAUUGGGUUUAAAGGGUCCGUAGGCGGUUUAGUAAGUCAGUGGUGAAAGCCCAUCGCUCAACGGUGGAACGGCCAUUGAUACUGCU